AUAGUUGCAGCCUUGUCCCAGCGCGGAAGGCACAAGAAAUCCAAACAAAACUGUCAGAAAAAAAUAACACUUUUGCAGUUCCUCCAAAGAAAAUUCACAGUGGAAUCCCGAGACCACCACCCGUGGCACUUUAUAUAAGCCUCAGGUGGAAAGAAUUCACACAAAGUCUUGAGACAACAAAAUUCGGAGUAUUACCCCGUGUGUGUCUUUUUGGCCCGAAAAUUAAAAUAAUAAAAUAUUUUUAAUUUCCCCCCU